GCGGGUGUGGCGGAAUUGGCAGACGCGCUAGAUUUAGGUUCUAGUGGGAAAUCCGUGCAGGUUCAAGUCCUGUCACCCGUACCA
rnacentral:tRNA from 1 species